rnacentral:miRNA from 11 species
ACCUGGACAAGGCUACUUAACG